GUUCUUGAGGUGACGUCUGCCCCAGAGAAUAUGCUGACGAAGUGGGACUGUUCUUAAUGUUUCCUCAGAAUAGUGUGGGGGUGCCUCAGUUUCCCCUAGGCAGAUCAGACUCGCUGGGGAAGCGCACGGAGGGGCAGAGGAUGCUGGAUGCUCCGAGGUCAGACCCAGGAAGGUGGAAGCCCUGUGAGUUGUGUAUCCUGCAGACAGUCUGAUCCCAGAGAGGAGACUUCCCCAGAGUCUUGACUGGCUUCGUAGGGAGCAGUUCCAGAGCAUCGCCCGGGGACUCCGUGACAAGGCGACGUCUGCCACACAGAAUAUGCUCGGUCCUGGGGGUCGGCUGGCCUGCUAUGUAUGUUCCCAGCCAGCAAACGGUGCAGAGAUGAGCCUUGCUAGUCGCCGCUCCGCAGGCCAAAAGGAUGGGUGCAAAGUUACCGUCGGGAAUGCAUACCCCAGUUCCCUAGGGCUCCGUAGGGCAGACGAUUCGAGCAAUGGCUGAGCACUGCUGUCGGUGCAAAGGCAGGGAGCUAAGGACUUCGGACAGCUAGCCCCUUCGUACACCUGCUGUGUAGAGUAGAAGGAGUUGAUUAGUUCGAGUCGAGUCAACUUAAUCUGUUGCUGCACCUUGAAAUCCUAAUCUGCAGCACUGCCGACCCCAAGACCUCCAAAAUCCCGAGAUUGGCUUAAAAACCAUGAGAUUAUUAUUAUUAUUUUUUUAAAUACAUGGCUUUUAUGUUCUUG